AUUUGAUAAUCUUGUUAUAGGGACUUAUGUUUCGGCCAUAGGUGCGAAGUUGUUUGCCUUCUAUCAAAUG
rnacentral:tRNA from 1 species